rnacentral:lncRNA from 1 species
UUCAUUUUAAAAAAAAAUAUGAUCAAAUUACAUACACCUAUCCAACAAGGGAGGCAUUAGAUAGACUGAACUUGUAAAUGAAGCUUUGCUCGCAAACAAGCACGAAGAAUUAUGACAAACCCAAAUGAACAGAUAGCAUAAGUAUUGAAAGCCAUAUAUUGUAGAUUGUCCUUUCAAAUAUGUCAAAGCCAAACCAUCCGAUUUUUAGAUGUGAAAAGGCAUUUUGGAAGGAAGAGAUGUUUGCAAUAGAGGCAAAGAUGUUUAAAUAUGUUGCGGGAAGAAUUGUUGGAUUGCCACUUUGUAUAAGCCCAAUUUUAGCACGGGCCCAACACACUCAAAUCAGACCAAAUAAGACCAAAAAUAUCCCACCGACCCAAGGCCCAAAAUUAAACUCAAACCCUAUGCCCACAACCUACAGUUUUCAGAAAAGAAAACCUAAACCCUAAUGCCCCCUUUGCGUCGCUGCCCCCAUGUGCGGUGUCAGCACACUCACCGCUCGAGGUCUGCUCCUCUGGUACGGCCUUGCACCAAGAUGGAAAAUCCUUUCGUUGACCUUACCCCACCUGCAAAAAAGGAAGCAAUAGCAGUAUAAAGAAACAGUAAUAUGAACAGUAGUAUAAACAGUGCAAAUCGGCUAUAAGAGCCAAAUGAAAUGUAAUCAAAAAGGGGGGGGAACAAAAUAUUGUAUCAAAAAGAAAAUUUUUGAAAGAAAGAGUAAUAGAAAAACAGUUUCUAAAAGUUAUUGUUCUCCGAAUUUUUAGCCUUUUUUUCUUCUUUUUAAUCAGUUCUUUCUUUUAAAAAACUAUUAAUAAAUAAAAAGGAAAAGGGGUUUACCUGCGUCGCGCCGGAGGAGGAGUUGAACGAUUUCCCUUCGGUUCUAGGGUUCGUGGCCACCUUUCAAAGGAUUCAGCUUCGAAUCCGAAUUCUAGGAGAGACGAGCUCCAAACGGGGCUAAAAAAGGCAAGUUUUUGCACCUCCGACCACCGCUUGCGGCGCAGCUACGGCGGAGGUACGCCGGAGCCUUCGUCGGUCCUAGGCCAGACUAGAGAGAGGGGCCGAGAGAGAAUGAGGGCGUUUU